GCCAGGCCGUUCCUGUGCUCACAGAGCGUAGUGAGCUUUACUUUACUCAGGAUAUUGUGAAAGGUGCUGAACUUAGUGAUGAGACAGUUAAUACCCAGAUUCUGGAGAUCGCCUCCUCAAAGUGUGGCCCAGCGACUUCAAGCUGGGAAUCGGGGCUUGCUAAGUUUAUGCAAUAUCGCGUGACCGAUGACUUCCGAUUCAUCCUGAGGUGUAAGAGGCUUCGAAUCCUGUUGGCUCUUCAAAACUUUUAUAUAAGUGAGAUGAUUCUAAUUAGCAAUGGUAGUGGAGGCCAGUUUUUAACCAAAGAACCAGCCGCCAGGUGAUGGGUCACAGCAAGGAGGGGUAUGGGGUUGGGUAUCAGUGUUUGGGUACAUUUAAUGGAGGUGCGAUAAAACAUUUGGUAAGGUUUAGCAGCGUCUGUAAUGUCCCUGCAUUGUAGGCAGAGCUUUCUGGAUAGAUUCUGGAAACACACACCCCUGUAUUGGACAAAUGGAUUCAGAAAAUGGAUGGAUGGAUGGAUGGAAUGCAGUGUUUUUCAUGUGUUUUCAUGAGUGGAAGUGAACUUUUACAGAACUGAGUAUUUCAGUAAGUAGGAGAAAAAUCCAUUUUUGAUUAAUCUUAUUGCCUGUAUGUUUUUAAUGCUGCACUGUUCAGUUGCAAAUGGUAGUUCCCUCUGAAUCCCAUCUUCGCAUGUUAGAAAGGCUCUUGUAGCUUUAAGGAACACCGGUGCGUGCAAAGGACUGUGGGUGCAUGCAGACGAGAGCGCGCGGGAAAGCCUGAAGGAAUAGGUAGCACGUCAGCGAGCUGCAGUUUAUGUAUAGCUAGUUUAGUUGUUCCUCGCAGUAAAUACAGUCCCUGGUUUUUAUGUAUGCGUCACUGACGAAUGGAGUCUGAUCGAAACCCAAAAUCAAGCUGCUGCUGUGAGCUCCUGCUGAGCACCCUGCUCGGAGGCAUGUAGACUCGACGGACGCUACGGAGUGUUCCAGUGACCGCCCACUAGUACAUAUCUGCUAGACUCGACCCUCGCCGUACCGUACAAAGCAUAACACAGUGAGAAUAAGGAGUGAAAUACAGGCAAUCUACAGCCCAAGGAAGGCAGACAACCGCCUCUAUCUGAUUACAUGACACUGUGAACUAUAGACAAGAUCUCACUUAGAUGCAGUUCUCCUUGAUGUAGCUGGGUUUGAUUUGUGGCUGGUGUGUAGCUGGCCUCUGAGAUGUCGCUCAUGACCCUGAUCAGCGCAGGAAACAUCCAUCAGUGAGCAGGAAGGUGUUCCUUGCUGCAUCACGCAAGAAGAUUUGAGGGCUCGUCCGGGAUCGGAGAAAGGGAGCAGCCAGAGCGCACGGACGGCGAGGAACAAGGUGUCCUGUUAGAAGGGAGCGGUGAGACGUCACUGCCAGCCAAGGAGCGAGGAAAAAGGUUACUCGAUCCGGCUCAGCAUCCCAUGCUCGUCGGACGAACGCCUGGACAUCCAAAUCCGAUCAACGGACCAAAAUUGAAGCGAAAAAAAAAUUGUAAAUUGAUUUAUUAAAUCACAAGUCGAUGUUUAAGUUUGUAUAGUAUCUAUAUCUGCUGUUUGACAAACUUUGGGAAAAGCGCUAGUGGAUUGCGAUAUCCACAGGAGGAUCCUCGUAUUCACAGGAAGGUGAAUACAGGUAUUUGCAAGGAAGCAAAUACAGGUGUCUGUAGAGACACAGGUCUUUCACAAGGAAGUGAAAGGGUUUUCACGAGGGAGUGAAAACAAGCGGGUUGGUUGGCAUUUGCCCCACCUGGGUAUAAAUAAGGUUGUGUGUGGAAACUGUCCCGUCGGGCAGUUAACACGGCUCUGCCAGGGGCAGCCUGGUAGCGGACUGAGUCCUGCCAGGGAAGUGAAUGAAUAGUAGCUGCCGCGCUGUGAUACGUGUCCUGCCGGAGGAAAUUGUGUGAAGCGUGUAAAUAUCCUGGUUGUGAUGAAUGUGAAUGUGUUGUGUUGCCUAAUGCGGAAUAUCAGGUAAACAAACUAAUAAGUGUCCAGAAAAUUAGACAGAGAUACCGGUGUAAAAAGCGCCGGAGGCCAAGCGGCCGUGCCCAAACUAAAUUUGUCUCAUUUAUGAGGACAGACACAAGUCAAAAUUUAUAUUGCUGGAAUGUGUGUCUGGUGCGCAUAAUAAAAUAUUAAUUAUAUUAUUCACCAAUCCUGCUAAAUCAAAGUAUUCGUUUGUGUUCAUAAUAAAUAGCUUGCUCUAUCGCAAUUUGCUUUCUCGCAACGAAGAAACUUGCUUCUGCUUUCGCAACGAAGUAAACCGCUUAAUUUCCUGAAGUGCUUUGUUGAGGGUAACUGUUGAACAGAUAGGAAUAGUCAUGGGCAGUUCAAAUAGCAAAGAAAACAAAUGGGCUCCAGAGGGUAUGACAAAAUUUGAAAAACAAAUGAGAAAACACAGUUGUCGAAAGCCAGGCGAGAAACGUACGUGUCGUGAUGUGGUCGAGACUGAGAUGGGAGAGAGUUUUGCAAAGAAUGUGCCAAAUGGAGUAAAAUGACAAGCGGGCGCUGGCCCGUGGACGGCACGUUCGAUCCAACAAUAAUGCAGCAUACAAAGCGUGUAAUACAAAGCAAAAAGGGAUGUUGUGGAAAAUAUGGGGAUAUUGAUAAGUUUGAAAAGUGGAUAUAUGUGGCUAAAUUGAAAGAGUUAGAGAAGGAAAAGGCAAAUAAUAAGGGACUGAGGGACCAACUGGCCAGGGAGACAGCGGAGUUAAACGCUGAAAGGGCCAAGAAUGAGGCUCAGGCCCAAUCCCUCAGCAUGGUGUUACAGAAUACUAAGAAGAAAAAGGAAGAGAUACCUCUGUACCCUCCUCUGCCAAAUGUGCCCCCUCCCCCUGCUUAUCAUCCUCAGCUAGGAGCAGCUGCAGCAGCACUGGCGUCUGUGGAGGCCACUGCCCCUCCCUCAGAGAAGAAGGAGGAAGAUGACGCAGUGGGGGGAGCAGGAGCCCUGCCGCUGAGACAGAGCCAGAGACUGCUGCAAAGGGGGGAGACUCAGCCUCACAGCCAUCGCAGUUGUACCCCUUAGUGGAGAUGCCUGACCCAAGGGGCCCUGCGCCUGAUGGAACACCGACGAUGGUGUAUGUCCAGCGCAACUGGGACUUGGCUGAGCUGAGAGAGAUGGUCAACUCCCUCCCAGAUCCACGAGAGGUGGGAGGACACCGCUUCUGGCAGGAGGUGAUGAACCUGGACGACGUCUACCAGCACCACGACUCCACUGCACAGCUGCUUAUGUGGAAAACCACACACGACAUGAUGUGUAUGAUAUGCAAGACUUCAUGGGGAACGGAUUUCCUACAGAAAGGAUUCAAAUUGACUAUAUUUAUGUGGGACAUCAAGCCACUGCUGCUUCUGUGACACUCCAAGAACAACAGCUUCGCUGGUUCUGCCCUGGAGAUGAAGGCGUUCCAUAUGUCUCCUUGGGAAAGGUAGAAGUUCACCCAGACUCUCAGUACUGGUUUGCACACACCUUUAAAGGGAAAAGGUACACCUGGACAGUCAUGCUUCAGUCAUGCUCCUCCUUGAGGAGUAACCGCUCCGCACCCUAUCCCAGCCCCUACACCCACAGGAGCGCAUCACCCACUGCUUAUUCAGACAGCUUGUCUACCUGUCUGUCCAUGUUGCCGUCCCAUGACAACUGGUCCAGCCUACAGGUGCCGUCCCAUUCCGGCAUGUUACCCAUGAGUCAUAGCGGCACCUCCGGGAGCAGCUCCAGGUGAGCCCGUGCCUCCCCUCCCCCACCAUGCUGAGUCGCGGGCCCCCGUCUUCCCUCUUGUUCUCGCCUAUACCCACAUCCUAGCCUGUGUCUGCAUCGUCUCACCUCGUUAACAGGUCUUUCACCUUCUUCUGUCCUGAUCCAUUCAGGCCCAUCACUGCAUUCUGGGACAUGCUUUGAUUUAUUUCGCCAUAGUUACUCUUUGUUUUCCUUUGUACUUUGCACUCUACAAGUAAAGUGAAUAAAAAAUAGGCAUUAUUUUGAUAUUGUUUUAGUACAGUGACACUGUAGUAUAUUUGUUGUUCUUUCCAGGCAACACUGCAUGCUGAUUUAACGUCUUUCCUUAAUCUCCACCCCAUUGCUCACACACAGCCAGCAUCCCAGUUUGUGGUCAUUGAGCUCCUCCUCGCUCACCCCAGUCUCCUAGUCCAGUGGAAUGUCCAACAGCUUGGUCUCUCAGUUCCUGCGCAGCUCUACAACUCAUCACCCAGGGCUCUCGCACCCAGCCACAGUGCCCCUCUCAGGCUCCCCGCUGUAUGACGGCACUGCUCCAUCGAAAGUUCAUGAAGCCUCACAGUACGACGCCUCUCCCCACGCACGCUUAGCCACCACCUGGACUCCCAUCACUCCUCCUUCCCUGUAGGGCGGCGCACUUCCAUUAUUAUUGCAGUUUCUAUUGUCGCUCUGUUGCUUUUCCUGGUGCUGGACUUUUGACAAAUAAAUACAACUUUAUUUGUUGCA